rnacentral:rRNA from 1 species
GACGAACCGUGCAAACGUUGUUCGGAAUCACUGGGCUUAAAGGGCGCGUAGGCGGUCAAGCACGUCCGGGGUGAAAGCCUCCAGCUCAACUGGGAGAAGUGCCUCGGAUACGGCUCGACUCGAGGGGGGUAGGGGCGUGUGGAACUUCCGGUGGAGCGGUGAAAUGCGUAGAUAUCGGAAGGAACGCCGGUGGCGAAAGCGGCACGCUGGACCCCUUCUGACGCUGAGGCGCGAAAGCCAGGGGAGCAACGGGG